GAGGGUGCUAUACAUGCAGUCGUACGCUUCUUUUUCCACCGGAGCUUGCUCCACCGGAAAAAGAAGAGUGGCGAACGGGUGAGUAACACGUGGGUAACCUGCCCAUCAGAAGGGGAUAACACUUGGAAACAGGUGCUAAUACCGUAUAACAAUCGAAACCGCAUGGUUUUGAUUUGAAAGGCGCUUUCGGGUGUCGCUGAUGGAUGGACCCGCGGUGCAUUAGCUAGUUGGUGAGGUAACGGCUCACCAAGGCUACGAUGCAUAGCCGACCUGAGAGGGUGAUCGGCCACAUUGGGACUGAGACACGGCCCAAACUCCUACGGGAGGCAGCAGUAGGGAAUCUUCGGCAAUGGACGAAAGUCUGACCGAGCAACGCCGCGUGAGUGAAGAAGGUUUUCGGAUCGUAAAACUCUGUUGUUAGAGAAGAACAAGGAUGAGAGUAACUGUUCAUCCCUUGACGGUAUCUAACCAGAAAGCCACGGCUAACUACGUGCCAGCAGCCGCGGUAAUAACGUAGGUGGCAAGCGUUGUCCGGAUUUAUUGGGCGUAAAGCGAGCGCAGGCGGUUUCUUAAGUCUGAUGUGAAAGCCCCCGGCUCAACCGGGGAGGGUCAUUGGAAACUGGGAGACUUGAGUGCAGAAGAGGAGAGUGGAAUUCCAUGUGUAGCGGUGAAAUGCGUAGAUAUAUGGAGGAACACCAGUGGCGAAGCGGCUCUCUGGUCUGUAACUGACGCUGAGGCUCGAAAGCGUGGGGAGCAAACAGGAUUAGAUACCCUGGUAGUCCACGCCGUAAACGAUGAGUGCUAAGUGUUGGAGGGUUUCCGCCCUUCAGUGCUGCAGCUAACGCAUUAAGCACUCCGCCUGGGGAGUACGACCGCAAGGUUGAAACUCAAGGAAUUGACGGGGGCCCGCACAAGCGGUGGAGCAUGGUGGUUUAAUUCGAAGCAACGCGGAGGA
rnacentral:rRNA from 1 species